rnacentral:lncRNA from 1 species
GAACGCCGCGUGAAGACAGAGGCAGAGUUUGGAGUGACGCAUCUAUAAACCAAAGAACACCAAGGAUUGCUGGCAGCCUCCAGAAAGUAGAAGCAAGGAAGGAUUCUGCCCUGAGCCCCCAGAAGGAGCCAACCCUGCCAACACCUUGAUUUCAGGCUUCUGUGCUCCAGAACUUUUCCUGCGCAGCCUCAGUCUCCUCUUCUGUGGAAUGGAGCAACAACCGCACCUCCCUUACCAGGUUGCUGUGAAGAUUAACUGAGAAUCGAUGCAAAUCUCGUAGCACAACCCCCAGCACAUCACAAGAGCCCUGGGAAUGCCAGCUUUCACUCUUACGGUCGGCGUUUGUCCAGGAGUGAG